GGCCGGGUCCUGUGCAACGAGUGCCUGUGAACCGGGUCAGGGCCGGAAGGCAGCAGCUCUCAGCAGAUCCGCUCGGGUGCCGCAGACCGCCUGGCCGUC
rnacentral:SRP_RNA from 1 species